AGUGAACGCUGGCGGUAGGCCUAACACAUGCAAGUCGAACGGCAGCACAGUAAGAGCUUGCUCUUACGGGUGGCGAGUGGCGGACGGGUGAGGAAUACAUCGGAAUCUACUUUUUCGUGGGGGAUAACGUAGGGAAACUUACGCUAAUACCGCAUACGACCUACGGGUGAAAGCAGGGGAUCUUCGGACCUUGCGCGACUGAAUGAGCCGAUGUCGGAUUAGCUAGUUGGCGGGGUAAAGGCCCACCAAGGCGACGAUCCGUAGCUGGUCUGAGAGGAUGAUCAGCCACGCUGGAACUGAGACACGGUCCAGACUCCUACGGGAGGCAGCAGUAGGGAAUAUUGGACAAUGGGCGCAAGCCUGAUCCAGCCAUACCGCGUGGGUGAAGAAGGCCUUCGGGUUGUAAAGCCCUUUUGUUGGGAAAGAAAAGCAGCAGGAUAAUACCCCGCUGUUCUGACGGUACCCAAAGAAUAAGCACCGGCUAACUUCGUG
rnacentral:rRNA from 1 species